rnacentral:rRNA from 1 species
CCUACGGGGAGCAGCAGUGAGGAAUAUUGGUCAAUGGACGCAAGUCUGAACCAGCCAUGCCGCGUGCAGGAAGACGGCUCUAUGAGUUGUAAACUGCUUUUGUACGAGGGUAAACGCAGAUACGCGUAUCUGUCUGAAAGUAUCGUACGAAUAAGGAUCGGCUAACUCCGUGCCAGCAGCCGCGGUAAUACGGAGGAUUCAAGCGUUAUCCGGAUUUAUUGGGUUUAAAGGGUGCGUAGGCGGUCGGAUAAGUUAGAGGUGAAAUCCCGAGGCUCAACUUCGGAAUUGCCUCUGAUACUGUUCGGCGAGAGAGUAGUUGCGGUAGGCGGAAUGUAUGGUGUAGCGGUGAAAUGCUUAGAGAUCAUACAGAACACCGAUUGCGAAGGCAGCUUACCAAGCUACUUCUGACGUUGAGGCACGAAAGCGUGGGGAGCAAACAGGAUUAGAUACCCGUGUAGUC